GAGAUUUGUGCACUCUAUUCAAUUAGUUGCCCUACAGCAAGGAGCAGGAGAAAUAAGUACUUUCAGCAACCAACUGAUCUUCCUAAUCUUCCAGUAUCUAUACAAAAACAACUUCAAGCAAACUAUAUGCAACCCAGGAAUGUCUCAAGAAUAUGGUUCACAUGAUUCAUGCUUCAGCAUCUGACCAAACUGAGUUUUCUGAACCUGUGUUAAUCCAACAAAAACUGGAAAUCAACAGCAAACAGGUGGAUCCAUCAGCUCAAGCAACUGAAUCAUCAUACAACUACGACUGGACUCAGGAUAUUUUCAAAUGACACUAAUAGGAAUAUAGCACAAUGGAAGUGUGCGAGUUGCAUAUUGUACUGGCUACAAUUCUUGGUCAAUAUGCGAAUUUUCCAAUGCCAAUGCGACAUUCAGCCAUAUGGAUAAUGCAAACACCAGCCCAAAGGUAAAUGGCUGUGCUGGAAACAUCAGGAGAACACUUGCAGAAACAGUACUCUCUGCUGGUCCUCAGCUUGUUCCUCUGUCUCUCACUAGUCCUUGUCUUCAGAAUCAAAAGAUCCACAUAGGGGAUGCAAAAGUUCAUGUACGCAGUCCAUCAGAAAAAGAUGAUCAGAUGAAUUGUAUUUCUUGAGAAUUUGAAAUACAGACAAUGGAUCAUUUCGUGCUUAGAAGUUUCCCUUUUUCUUUGUAUGUCACAGUGUAUUAUAGGAUUUUGAACUGGAACAUUGCAUAUAGUUUCACGUGUUACAAAAGCU